rnacentral:rRNA from 1 species
GAUUAACGCUGGCGGCGUGCAUAACACAUGCAAGUCGAACGAUGAAACUUAAAUGAUUUCUUCGGAAUGAACUUAAGUGGAUUAGUGGCGGACGGGUGAGUAACGCGUGAGUAACCUGCCUUACACAAGGGGAUAGCCGUUGGAAACGACGAAUAAUACCCUAUGAAACUAUCACUUCGCAUGAAGCGAUAGUCAAAGUGUUAGCGGUGUAAGAUGGACUUGCGUCUGAUUAGCUAGUUGGUGAGAAAAAAGCCCACCAAGGCAACGAUCAGUAGCCGGCUUGAGAGAGUGUACGGCCACAUUGGGACUGAGACACGGCCCAGACUCCUGCGGGAGGCAGCAGUGGGGAAUUUUGCACAAUGGGGGAAACCCUGAUGCAGCGACGCCGCGUGAUUUAGAAGGCCUUCGGGUUGUAAAAAUCUUUUGUAUAGGAAGAAAAUGACAGUACUAUACGAAUAAGGUCCGGCUAAUUACGUG